rnacentral:rRNA from 1 species
UACGUAGGGUGCGAGCGUUAAUCGGAAUUACUGGGCGUAAAGCGUGCGCAGGCGGUUAUGUAAGACAGGUGUGAAAUCCCCGGGCUUAACCUGGGAAUGGCACUUGAAACUACGGGACUGGAGUAUGGCAGAGGGAGGUGGAAUUCCACGUGUAGCGGUGAAAUGCGUAGAGAUGUGGAGGAACACCGAUGGCGAAGGCAGCCUCCUGGGCCAAUACUGACGCUCAUGCACGAAAGCGUGGGGAGCAAACAGG